AAGACCUUGUGCUUUUGGAGCGGCCGAUGCCUGAUUAGCUUGUUGGUAAGGUAAAAGCUUACCAAGGCUUCGAUCAGUAGCUGGUCUGAGAGGACGACCAGCCACACUGGGACUGAGACACGGCCCAGACUCCUACGGGAGGCAGCAGUGGGGAAUUUUGGACAAUGGGGGCAACCCUGAUCCAGCCAUGCCGCGUGAGUGAAGAAGGCCUUCGGGUUGUAAAGCUCUUUCAGCCGGAACGAAACGGUUACGGAUAAUACCCGUGACUACUGACGGUACCGGAAAAAGAAGCACCGGCUAACUACGUGCCAGCAGCCGCGGUAAUACGUAGGGUGCAAGCGUUAAUCGGAAUUACUGGGCGUAAAGCGUGCGCAGGUGGUUUUGUAAGUCAGAUGUGAAAGCCCCGGGCUCAACCUGGGAACU
rnacentral:rRNA from 1 species